rnacentral:rRNA from 1 species
GAUGAACGCUGGCGGCGUGCUUAACACAUGCAAGUCGAGCGAUGAAGUUUCCUUCGGGAAACGGAUUAGCGGCGGACGGGUGAGUAACACGUGGGUAACCUGCCUCAUAGAGUGGAAUAGCCUUCCGAAAGGAAGAUUAAUACCGCAUAACGUUGAAAGAUGGCAUCAUCAUUCAAUCAAAGGAGCAAUCCGCUAUGAGAUGGACCCGCGGCGCAUUAGCUAGUUGGUGGGGUAACGGCCUACCAAGGCGACGAUGCGUAGCCGACCUGAGAGGGUGAUAGGCCACAUUGGGACUGAGACACGGCCCAGACUCCUACGGGAGGCAGCAGUGGGGAAUAUUGCACAAUGGGGGAAACCCUGAUGCAGCAACGCCGCGUGAGUGAUGAAGGUUUUCGGAUCGUAAAGCUCUGUCUUUGGGGAAGAUAAUGACGGUACCCAAGGAGGAAGCCACGGCUAACUACGUGCCAGCCGCCGCCGUAAGAC